UAUAAUCUUCCCUCAGACACCUUUGUGAUAGCCAUCAAACCAACAUGUCAUUGGCUAGCUAAAUAAGUUCAACGACAACUGAUAAAAUUAAGCCUAAAUCUAAUGAUGGCCGAAUGGAAUCCUUCUGGAACACAAGAAGCCCACAAAAGUACAUGCAAGAUAAGUUAAUUUGUUUGGGAAAAAGAAUAGUAGGGAGAGGGAUGAAAAUGAGAGGAUUGAGAUUGAGAGAAAAGGAAAAUAUUAACAUAUUGGAGGAUUGCAAUUGAGAGGAAAGGAAAAUUUUGACAUAUUAUUAUAAUCUUAUUUCCUUCUUAAUGUUUGGAUGAGGUGAAAAUGAGACGAGGAAGGAAAAAAAAGGGUUUCGGAAAGGCAAAAACUUAAAGAAAAGAAAAGUAGAAAUGCAAAUUAUUAAAUUAAUUAUCUAAAUCGUAAUAUAAUAGUUAUUAAUAAAAUAAAUGUUACUUAAUGAAAAAUAAAAUUACCCUGCAAAGUUUCCAGUGCUAUCAGAAAUGGCUCUGCUGCUCCAGCCACAUGCUUCAAUUUCUUCGAUCUCAUCUUCUUCUUCAACUUUCUUCGCGCAACGCUCGAAGUUCUUGGCCCCAAAACCUCAAAAAAUUAUUAUCAAAAGAGUCACCAGCGAUUCUUCAUCACCCUGCAAAGCAUCAUGGCAAGAGCUUGCUGGAGUUCUUGUAUUCUCGGCGAUUCCUUUCACGGCGGUGAAAGCCAUUGCCAAUAGCCCCCUGGGUGAGUCGCUUCAGCGUCGAAUGGAGGAGAAGAAGAAAGUUGCAAUCCAGGAAUCUUCCAAUUUCCAGGCUUUAGCCGCAAAAGCCCGUAAAGAGAGCUUGUGGUAUGGAGAAGAGCGUCCUCGCUGGCUUGGUCCUAUUCCAUAUGACUACCCUGCAUAUCUUACUGGAGAACUACCUGGGGAUUAUGGCUUUGAUGUUGCAGGUCUGAGCAAGGAUUCUGUGGCUUUUCAGAGAUACUUUAAGUAUGUUUAAAACUUUGUUUCUUCUUUAUUUAUGCAUGCUUAGCAUGAUCUUCCCAGCCCAUGUCAAUAAUACAAAGGAAGUUAAAAUUUGUAACAUGAUAAUGGUAAGACAUCAUGAAGUGCGGUGGUAUUCUGAAUAGUAAUAACUUGAUUACCUUGAUCAAUCAUUGAAAUAUUGCUAUCUGCAAUGUUAUAAAUGUUUUAAUGAUGUGGCUUUGUUUCUAUUCCUUGUUGCUGAACUCUUUGCUGAAACCUAUCAAGGCUUAAAUGUCUUCUAAGUGUUUUUACAGUGUCCAGGAUGACUUGAGUUGGCACAAUGCAGUGCCAAGUCGAUCAUAUCAUUUGAGGAUUUAUAAUAACAUUAAAUGAGAUUUUUUUUUUCUCAAUGAUUGAAUUAUGGAUCCUGAAUUUGAUCUCCAUUUUCUGUAGUUUUGAAAUACUUCAUGCUCGUUGGGCUAUGCUUGCUGCCCUUGGUGCUCUGGUUCCAGAAUUACUGGAUAUAUCAGGCGCCUUUCACUUCAUUGAACCUGUCUGGUGGCGAGUUGGCUAUUCAAAGCUUAAGGCUAGUAUCUUUGGUCUCAGUAAAUUAAUAAUUCUCCAUGCAUAUUUGGGUUAUGGAUUUUCCUAAUUUGCCAUAUCCUGACUCUACUCAAUUUUUGUGCUGGAAGUUUUGGACACUAUAGCCUUCUAAUUCUUGCAUUCUAUUUUGUAGCAUGGAUUUGCCUAGUUUAAGAACAGUAUCACUUAUUGAACUCUUUUCUUCUUGUUUCUUCAAUUUGUUAUCAGGGAGAUACAUUGGACUACCUUGGCAUCCCUGGACUCCACUUAGCUGGAAGCCAAGGAGUGUUUGUCAUUGCUAUUUGCCAAGCCCUCUUAAUGGUUGGACCAGAAUAUGCAAGAUAUUGCGGGAUUCAGGCAUUGGAGCCUUUGGGAAUUUACUUGCCAGGUGAUAUCAAUUAUCCAGGAGGGGCACUUUUUGAUCCCUUGAACCUCUCCAGCGAUCCAGUAGCUUUUGAGGAGCUGAAGGUGAAAGAAAUUAAAAAUGGGCGCUUAGCAAUGGUUGCAUGGUUAGGCUUUUAUGCGCAAGCAGCUUUGACUGGUAAAGGUCCAGUUCAGAAUCUUCUCGAGCACAUAUCAGAUCCAUUUCACAACAAUCUGUUUUCUGUGCUCAAGUUGAUGUAAGAUGUUCUUUCUUUUUGUCUUUUUGGUUAUAUGUAAGAUGAUUUUUUUGAGUGUACAGUGAUAUAUUUUAAAAGAGUUCUCAAUAUAGUUGAACGUGACAUGUGACAUGGCAUUUGAAGUUGCCUUAAGUUCGUUCACAUGCUAGGUUUCCAAAAAGCAAGUUCCAUGCAAGGAAAGAACAAACCUAAUUAGCUGUAAUCCACAGAAGAAAUAGUGACCUUUUCUGCUACACGUAGCACUGUUAGACUCCCUAGUUGAUGUGAAAAUGGCUGCUUGUUCAAGUGGUGAUUCUUAUUCUAACCAAGAAUGUGAGUUGGAGGUUUCUGAUGGGAAUUAGAUUAAUCAUUAUAUAGUGUUUUGAAGUGAAAUUCAUUCCUAGCUAACAAGUACAUGUUUACGUGGUUCUCUUAUUAAAAUGCGAAAAAAUAUUUUAUUUGAAACACAGGAGUCCUAGUUUUCUUCUUUCAAAGGAAAAGGAUAUAUGAUUAAGAAAUUGAAAAUAAAGAGCUUCUCCUGAUUAAACAAUUGAAUUAAAAGAAGCACAGGGCUUGAAUUCAUUCUCUCUUUUAUCUGCUAGAAAGGAGCAAGCAAGGGAUAAAUUCUCGUGAAAUCUGUUCCAAACAAAGAGAGAAAUGCAACCAAAGGGAAGAAUAUGAUAUUUAACAAAAACGAUUAUUUAUUACUCUAUCAGAUUGUACUUAUAUAUUGAACUUCGAUGCCAUGUCCCAUUGCAUUGCAUUAUAGGUGUGGGACAACCAAUAGCUAUUUUUGCAGUGAAGCAAGCUUUCCUUUAAGGCUUCCCUCCAAAGAGGAAUUGUUUGAUGUCUAAUAAAAAUUAAUUUUAUUGCUUGGUACGUGUGCUCUCUUCAAACUUUCUCUAUUACUUGCCACAAGGGCCUCAACUAGCUGUUUUCUGCUGCAUACGUUGCUUCCUCUUCUAUGCAGAAUGAAUAGUUUGUAGUUGUUAAUGAUGAGCUAGGGCUUUGGAUAAAGCAACAAGAACCUGCAAUUGCAAGUUAGAUAAUGUAACGAAGGUAAUGCUCCAUAUUUUUACCUAGACAGGAUUGGUUAUAUAUAUAUAUAUCUCGAGAUUAAUGUAAGUGAGACUUGUAUAUUUGUGCCAAUAAAAGUCUUGAAUUCAUUAGGUAAAGUUUUCAUGUUAUUCAUAUUAAAACCCAUUCUUGUUUAUAGGUUGAACCAAUAAGCUUUCGAUUAAGCCCAUUUUUAACAAAUAAGAUAUCUCUAUCUUGUGCUCUAUCAUUCUUUUCCUUCUCAACAGGUUUGAUGGGAGAGGGUGGAAAAUAUCAUGAGACAGCCUCCUCUUCAACAGGAGGAAAUCACAUUACAAUUAAUGUUGAUUCAUUGGCCUCUUCCUUUAAAGAGAUGAUGUCCCAAAAUUUAACAAUGUCUGAUAAGUGCUGCAUCUUCAGAAUCCCCCACAUACUCCAAAGGCACAAUGAGAAGGCAUAUGUUCCCAAUGCAUUUUCAAUUGGGCCCUGGAACCAUCACAAACCAAAGUUGAAACCCACAGAGAAAGUUAAGCUCAAGUAUCUACAUGGCCUCCUCUCCAAAGCACCCUGCAGUGAGACGAUGUUGAAGGAGUUCGUCAGAGCCAUCUGGGAAAUUGAGGAAGAUGCUCGUGUCUGUUAUGCCGGACCUGUAGAUGUCAAACCUGAUGAGUUCGUCAAGAUUUUGGUACUCGACGGUUGCUUCAUCAUUGAACUGUUCCGAAAGGAUGACGAUGAGAUGCUUAGGGAAGAUGAUGACCCAAUUUUUAAUAUGUCUUGUAUGCUUCAGUUUCUGCACCAUGACUUGAUCUUGCUAGAAAACCAAAUACCUUGGCUUGUGCUUGAAAAAUUGUUCAACAUGACCAAGGAACCUGGAAGCAAGUCCCUUACUCAGCUUGCCCUUAAAUUCUUCCACAACAUUUUUUCAUUCACACCACCUCCAAUAGUUCAACCUUUCCAUGAACAAAAGCAUAUACUUGAUCUCCUAAGAAAUUGGUUGGUUUUGUCCUCUGGAAAAGCAGAAGAUGGAAAGCUCGGAUGGCAACCUAUUCCUUCUGCAACAAAUCUUGUAGACGCUGGCAUCAAGUUCAGAAUGGGAGAGGCAAAAAGCAUCCUGGAUAUAAAAUUCACCGACGGUGUCCUGGAAAUCCCAUCGCUGCUAAUUCAGGAGACAACAGAAGUUAUCAUUCGAAACCUGAUUAGCUAUGAGCAGUGUUGUCCUAAAUGCUCAACAAGAAUCACCUCAUAUGCCAUACUCCUAGACAACCUCAUCAACACAGCCAAAGACAUGGAUAUUCUCACAGAUAAUGGCAUUAUCGAUAAUUGGUUGAAUCCAGAGGAUGCAACCCAGUUCUUCAACAAGCUUUACCAUGAUGCCUAUGUGAAGAAGUACUACUACUUGGAUCUCUGCGAGAAAGUGAAUGAGUAUUGCCAUCGGAGGUGGCCCAGAUGGCGAGCUAUGUUUAUGAGGAAUUAUUUUGGGACCCCAUGGGCUAUUGCUUCUCAAAUUGUGGCUGCCACCUUCCUGAUUCUCACCGUUUUGCAGACCUUAUUUACGAUAAUUAAGUAGCAUCUUUUUAUGGCUACCGAAAACUUCCAUUGUAAAUAAUUAUAAUGGUAAUUGAUCAUAUGCCUGAUAAUGUUGGAAGUGAGAAAUUCAAAUCACCAAGUGAACCCCUUCUGUGAAUUUUUG
rnacentral:misc_RNA from 1 species